rnacentral:rRNA from 4 species
UGCAACCUGAGCUCAGUCGUGAUUACCCGCUGAACUUAAGCAUAUCACUUAGCGGAGGAAAAGAAACUAA